rnacentral:rRNA from 1 species
CGGGAUACCCGAGGGAAACUUCGGUUAAUACGGUAUAAGACCACACUACCGCAUGGUAGAGGGGUAAAAGGGGCAACCUGGUAUGAGAUGGACUCGCGUCGCAUUAGCUAGUUGGUGAGGUAACGGCCCACCAAGGCGACGAUGCGUAGCCGACCUGAGAGGGUGAUCGGCCACAUUGGGACUGAGAUACGGCCCAGACUCCUACGGGAGGCAGCAGUGGGGAAUAUUGGGCAAUGGAGGAAACUCUGACCCAGCAAUGCCGCGUGAAUGAAGAAGGUCUUCGGAUUGUAAAGUUCUUUAGUCAGGGAAGAAGUCAAUGACGGUACCUGAAGAAUAAGCUCCGGCUAACUACGUGCCAGCGGCCGCGGUAAUACGUAGGGAGCAAGCGUUGUUCGGAAUGACUGGGCGUAAAGGGUGCGUAGGCGGUUGUACAAGUUAGAAGUGAAAUACCCAGGGCUUAACUCGGGUGCUGCUUCUAAAACUGUAUGACUUGAGUGCAGUAGAGGUUAGUGGAAUUCCUAGUGUAGCGGUGGAAUGCGUAGAUAUUAGGAGGAACACCAGAGGCGAAGGCGGCUAACUGGACUGCAACUGACGCUGAGGCACGAAAGUGUGGGGAGCAAACAGGAUUAGAUACCCUGGUAGUCCACACUGUAAACGAUGGAUACUAGAUGUAGGAGGUAUCGACUCCUUCUGCGUCGCAG